rnacentral:rRNA from 1 species
GACGAACGCUGGCGGCGUGCCUAAUACAUGCAAGUAGGACGCAGUUGCGAACGGGUGAGUAACGCGUAGGUAACUACCUAUUAGAGGGGGAUAACUAUUGGAAACGAUAGCUAAUACCGCCUACUAGUAGAUGGAUCUGCGUUGUAUUAGCUAGUAGGUAGGGUAAAGGCCUACCUAGGCAAAGAUACAUAGCCGACCUGGGGGGGUGGUCGGCCAAAAUGGGACUGGGGCACGGCUCAGACUCCUACGGGAGGCAGCAGUAGGGAAUCUUCGGAAAUGGGGGGAACGCUGACCGAGCAACGCCGCGUGAGUGAAGAAGGUUUUCGGAUCGGAAAGCUCUGUUGUUAAGGAAGCGGUACUUAACCAGAAAGGGACGGCUAACUACGUGCCAGCAGCCGCGGUAAUAC